CAGGCCCCAGAACCGGGGAGCUGUCACCAACAGAGCUGGCUUCCCGGGCCCAGCUCGCUGUUAGCCGGGAGAGCUCCUGAUCGCAGGCACACCCGGCUGGCCUGUGACCCUUUCUGCGCUGGCCUCCUGCCUCCUCCUGGCUGUGGGAACCCAGGCGACUUCUUACCUUCUCUGAGUGGCGGUUUCCUGCCCGUGGAAACACCUGAGCCAAGGAAGGAUAGCAUCCAGUUUGGACAGCGUAGGACCUGGCCGGCUUUGGACAGGGAAGAAGGCUUCCUUAGCGAAUUUCCAGGAACCUCCCGUUGGCCACACUCACGGCGGAGCCAGAGGGUCAGGGAGUGUGACGGGAUCCACAGAAGUCAGCCGUGUGUUCAGACAAAAGACUGAAACUUGCGCCAAGUAUCUGAAGCACGGACAGGCGGACUCAACUUUGGAACGCGCGCUGCCACCCCUCAGCGCCCCAGCGUAUACGACAUCACUCCUAGGAACUCCCGUGACAAACUGUGAUUUGUCCCAGCUUUUCCCGCCACUGGCUUGCCCGUCUUUUCCGUUUGCUUGUCCGUCCUUCUGCUAACUUAAGACAGAGACGUUUGCGCCACUGCA